GGCCUGAAAUGAAAUCCUAAAAGUCUUAAAUUCUGUUUUGAUGAAGAAAAACUCAGAUACAUCUUGGAUGGCCUGAGGAUUGUGAAAAAGAUAAAAGAAGAUUGUUGUAACACUGUCCCAUCUUGAGCUUGCAGUAAACAAACAAAAGGCAUAUUGGAGGGUUGAUCCUGUGAUGCGAGUAGACAUCCACAACACAUGUAAAUGUUGUCACUGAGUCAGGUGUGAUAUUUCAAACCUUCAUCCCACUGACACAAGUCUUCCGAAACCAUUCACCAAAGAGAUUCAUUCAGAUUCGUUCACUGAUGUGUUCAGUAACUAUUUCUGUUGAUAACAUCUUUACACCAGUAUAAUCAGUGUGUUAUGAGUGAAUAUGUUUCAGAACAUCUAUUUUAGUGACAUCUGUUAAGUAACAGGGACUUUUUCUGCAUGCCAUUCCAUCGAAAACUCUAUAAUUUCUGUUAUUAAUAUCUGGUAGCAUGUUGGCGAUUUUGUAGAUUAGUCUGUAUAACAGGGCUAAAGGCACAACUGAAGGAAAAUUUGCUUUUUUUUGGUCUCAAAAUGUAUCAAGAUCGAAAACAUUUAUUUAUUUUUAUUGAAAAUAUUAAUGGAGCAACAUAAUUUGUGUGAACAUAACGGAAGGUUAUUUUGAUUACAGUUUUAAUGGGGGGGUUUAUAGUGAUAACUGGUAGAUAUAGGGGCAAUAGACAUAGACAUAAUUGAACUAAUGCAAAUAAUUUUAAGACAGCAAGAUGCUUUUUGAAUAAUAAAUGAGGAUAAUGCUUACUUAAAAUAACUACUUUAGAAAAGUGUUAACCAUUUUCUAUUAAUUUCAAUCACAUUUGGAAUUUCAUAACAUUGCAAGUUUUCUAUAAACAAAUUAAUCUUCAUUGUGAUUGGACCAGUAAGACCACUUUGAACUUUUUUCAUAACAUAUCUAUUUGCCCCACACUUAAGAAAAACAAUGUGUUUUAUAGGGGCCUUAAGCCCCUGCAACAGUGGGGCUUUUUACCCCAAAUACUGUCCUUCCACUUAUUGGACAGUUAUUGAAUUUUUUUUUUAUUUAAUCACCUUGAAAAAAAAAAAAAAUGUGAUAAUAUCAGGGAUUCUCAUUAGCUACAUAAAUUUGCAACAUUUAAAAAAUUAAUUAAUAUUAGAUCGAUUUGCCUCAAAAUCAACCUUUAGACAUGACAUGCAAAGAUCUCAUGGAUCAGGAAACUUUUGCUGUGCAUAGUGACAAACAGGUUUUUGGGAAAGUGCUGUUGUAGUUUUGUUGCUAUUCAGUGUUUUGGGAGAAGAUAAAAUCAAAUGUGCCUUUUACCCCUGUGGCCUUUAGCCCCACUAAUGUGUGGAACUGUGUUUUAUCUUUAUUGUACAGAACUGCAUAUGAAACUUUACCUGGAAAGGCCAGCAAUGCACUUUUAAUGUGAGCCAACAGACGUACAUAUUUUAAUAUCGGCCUAUAAAACAUUCUGCAUUUCUCAGUGGAUUCUACACGUAAAGAAUUGUUCACCCCAAAAAUUAUAAUUCUCUCAUCAUGUACUCAACCCCUUUGCCGUAUUUGUACACGCACUCUGCACAUCAAGCGCAAGGAAGUGUGAAUGAACUUCUCUCUUCAGCGCACCAAGGAGACUGCAGAUGUAAAGAUUCGUCAUGAAAAAGGAGUUCUCAUCCAAAUACGAUCUAACCGCUUCAGAAGACAUGGAUUAAACCACUCGAGUCGUAUGGAUGCCUUUAUGCUGCCUUUAUGUCCUAUUUGGAGGUUGAGUUUUGACCCCACUGACUUGCAUUUGGACAAUAACACAUUGGCCUAAUAGUCCUAUAUCCUUCAAAAAAUUCUUUGUUUGUGUUCCACUGAAAGAAAGUCAUACGAGUUUACGAUGGUAUAAGGUUGAGUAAAUGAUGAGAGAAUUAACAUUUUGGGGUGAUCUUUUCCUUUAAUCUAAACAUAUCUGUCCUAAACAUGUUGGGGUUUUGGGUCUGGGCAUUUAAUUACUUAUAAACAAUUAGGGUUCCCAUGGUAAUGGAAAAUCUUAAAAUUUCAAUUUAAAAGGAUUUCCAGGCCUACAAAAGCCAUGGAACGACUUUUAUUUCUAUAGUAUAUUUAUUGUUAUUAUUAUUUCACUGGAAAGAAAUUGCUCUUCGUGAUAAUCUAAAACUGUAUUGUGUCUUCGUAGAUCAUAUUUCAUGCUCCACAAAUAAAGCUCCAUUUUCUGAUUUGCACGUUUGGUUAUAAUUUGUUAGCUUGAAUCAGUUUCAUAAUCAUAUUCUGAAAACUAUCUAUGGUCUUUUGCUGUGCUAAUAAAUAAUGUAUACUGUAAUAGGCUGGUAGACGCAGUCAGCGAAAUUAAACACUAGAACUACACUGAAGCAUUCGUUAUUGUCCGGCUAUAUAGCACUGUGAUAACAACUACCACCAUGAUUUACUUAUGUACACAAACUCUAUGGAGACGCGAGACUAAAUGAAAUCGUAAUUAGACAAAACUGAAAGGAAUCAAGCGAGCAUGUAACGCCAAGCGAUAACUUAUUAGUUCAGCACAGCAUAUUGAAGUGUUUACUUCUCUCAUGGUUUAAAAAGGUAGAAUGUUGUUUCUACACGACCCAGUUCAUCCAAUCUAAAUUAUACCAAUGCGUAUAGCUUUAGCGGUUUGAAAUUAGUAUUUUGUUAUUUAUUAUAGAACAUGCCUCAAAUGUUUAGUCGAAAAUUUCAAAUAUUAUAAUAAUCAAAUAUUGUUUGUAAGACUACAUUCGUCAAUUUCAAUUCCAGUCAUUAAAAGAAUGUUAUUAAAAUAUCGAGGUAUCAUGUUAGGUAUGGAAAGAUUUUGCUGUGGUGUGGAUCACCGUGUACUAUAGCGGGUACGGG